rnacentral:rRNA from 1 species
CCUACGGGUGGCAGCAGUAGGGAAUCUACCACAAUGGGCGAAAGCCUGAUGGAGCAACGCCGCGUGGGUGAAGAAGGUCUUCGGAUCGUAAAACCCUGUUGUUAGAGAAGAAAGUGCGUAUGCGUAACUGUUCACGUUUCGACGGUAUCUAACCAGAAAGCCACGGCUCACUACGUGCCAGCCGCCGCGGGAAUACGUAGGUGCCAAGCGUUCACCGGAUUUAUUGGGCGUGAAGGGAACGAAGGCGGUCUUUUAAGUCUGAUGUGAAAGCCUUCGGCUUAACAGGUGUAGUGCAUUGGAAACUGGGAGACUAGAGUGCAGAAGAGGUGAGUGGAA